rnacentral:tRNA from 1 species
UCGGAUAUGGUGUAACGGCUAACAUUGCCGCCUCUCAUUCGGGGGCACGCGGCAGCUCGGGGUUCGAUUCCCCGUAUCCGAA